rnacentral:rRNA from 1 species
UACAGAGGGGGCAAGCGUUGUUCGGAAUUACUGGGCGUAAAGGGCGCGUAGGCGGCCUGCUAAGUCGAACGUGAAAUCCCCGGGCUCAACCCGGGAACUGCGUCCGAUACUGGCAGGCUUGAAUCCGGGAGAGGGAUGCGGAAUUCCAGGUGUAGCGGUGAAAUGCGUAGAUAUCGGGAGGAACACCUGUGGCGAAAGCGGCUCACUGGACCGCAACUGACGCUGAGGCGCGAAAGCUAGGGGAGCAAACAGG